UACGUAGGGUGCAAGCGUUAAUCGGAAUUACUGGGCGUAAAGCGUGCGCAGGCGGUUUGUUAAGUCUGCUGUGAAAUCCCCGAGCUCAACUUGGGAAUUGCAGUGGAUACUGGCAAGCUGGAGUACGGUAGAGGAAGGUGGAAUUCCCGGAGUAGCAGUGAAAUGCGUAGAGAUCGGGGGGAACACCAGUGGCGAAGGCGGCCUUCUGGACCAGUACUGACGCUCAUGCACGAAAGCGUGGGGAGCAAACAGG
rnacentral:rRNA from 1 species